rnacentral:rRNA from 1 species
AGUGGCGGACGGGUGAGUAACGCGUGAGAAUCUGCCUUGGGGUCGGGGACAACCACUGGAAACGGUGGCUAAUACCGGAUAAGCCGAUUUGUGAAAGAUUUAUUGCCCGAAGAGGAGCUCGCGUCUGAUUAGCUAGUUGGUGAGGUAAGAGCUCACCAAGGCAGCGAUCAGUAGCUGGUCUGAGAGGACGAUCAGCCACACUGGGACUGAGACACGGCCCAGACUCCUACGGGAGGCAGCAGUGGGGAAUUUUCCGCAAUGGGCGAAAGCCUGACGGAGCAAGACCGCGUGAGGGAGGAAGGCUCUUGGGUUGUAAACCUCUUUUCUCAGGGAAGAAGCUCUGACGGUACCUGAGGAAUCAGCCUCGGCUAACUCCGUGCCAGCAGCCGCGGUAAUACGGAGGAGGCAAGCGUUAUCCGGAAUUAUUGGGCGUAAAGCGUCCGCAGGUGGCGAUUCAAGUCUGCUGUCAAAGCACGGGGCUUAACUCCGUAAAGGCAGUGGAAACUGAAUAGCUAGAGUGCCGUAGGGGUAGAGGGAAUUCCCGGUGUAGCGGUGAAAUGCGUAGAGAUCGGGAAGAACAUCGGUGGCGAAAGCGCUCUACUGGACGGCAACUGACACUCAGGGACGAAAGCUAGGGGAGCGAAUGGGAUUAGAUACCCC